GAAAGUCAAUUACAUCAGCUGGAAGCAGGAUAAUGCAUCGAAAUGAAUAACAAGAUUGAUUAGUAUUAACAGGUGUUAUUAUAUCGUUACAGUUUUCGCAUAGAGCACAUAUUCGACUAUUGCAUAUUCCUGUUUUGGAUAAAAAUUCAGUGCUCCACGCAAAUAUAAUUGAUGCAGUAGUCAGUCACAAUAGAGCUAUCGAGUAUGUAGCGACAUGCUAUUAUCGUUACUUCACGAUUAAGAAUCGAAAUAAAAAAAUCUCAGCGGGCAAAAAGCGAAUAAAUGAAAUGCACGAUUUUUAGAAGUUUCCAUUGUUAAAGGUAUUUUGAGUUCCUAAAUUCCAGCUUCGGAAUAUCUUACUUUAUCUUUUUGCUGCUUGGCAUAUGUUCUUUAAGUAUCAACAUGUUUUGCCUUUUCCAGGCAAGCUACACAAGAAAGAUGAAAGAGGCGUUCGUGAUAACUCUGUUUGUCAUGGGUCAUUUUAUUUACAUGUUUGCGAGUAAUUUUAUAGCGCAGAGCAUAACAAACGUUAGUUGCAAUAUAUUCUUUACAACGCAUAUAAGUCAGAGGAACUUCAACAGGUGGUUCUCUUCGGUAACUUACAUCAUUUAACAUCUCCUUUAAAGCGAUUCAAAACAUUUUUUAGACAUACUUAUUGAUGUUGAUUAAAACGGCAACAGUUAGUAAAAUAUUUGGCUAUUUGAUAAAGCUACGAUAUGUGUAUAAUUAAUACUAGUCGUGAUUGAAGCACAAUGAUAGAAAUGGAAUAUUUAUGACAAAAGGUUUUCCUUUUAAAAAUAUACGUACAUAUAUCGUAUUUAUAACGUUAGAAAAAAGAGGGAAUUAUUAUAAAUUGCACUAGCACUUCCAUCUCUGAUAAAUGUAUUACGAUUCAUAUUUUUUUUCCACUUCACUAGGUGAGUGCACUUUUCUUAUUCAUUCCAUUCGCUAACAUCGUUAAAAACGUUACAUGGAGAAUGCAAGUGGUUAAGAAAAAGGUGUUCGAAUGUUUUAGAACAAGUGAACAAAAGGAAAAGAAAAUUCACGCAGGAUAAAUUGUUAUUCUAAGCACAAAAGCAUAAAGAAAAACAAAGCUCCCAUAAAGAGAUUCAUUUGAUCGCAUCAUCAUUAUAAUAAAAAUUAAAGAGAUUUUUCCUGUAACUACUCCUUAACUCCUUAACGAGGAAGGAUCCUUGCGAGAAGCAAUUUUAAAAAAUUCAUAAUCCGGGAGUCUUUAAUACGUCGUUAUACACUGCAGAUUCGUGUGCGUAUUAUUUUUACAUGCCUAAGUAUGUCAUUUUAAUAUGUUUGAACGUUAUUUGACAUGUUUGUCAUAAACGUCAAAUGAUGUGAUUUAAGACGUUAAGAGACAUAUAAAAAAGUGUCAGUCAAUCAUACGCUUAUGUAUAUAUAAAUAAUACACGCAGAUUUGGAAUUUCAUCACAAUUUCGAAUGCAAUCACACCAUAGCGCUACCACACUGCGUGUGUACAAAUAUAUUGACAUCCAUAAUGGCACACUAAACCACACGCAAAAUUCAAUGCAAAAUCCAAAAGAAAUAAUUCUCGCGGUAUUUGUCACAAGUGGCACACGCCUCAUAAGAAGGUCCUCAUCACUAAUUAUAUAAUAUAUUCGCAUGGCACUCCUUUUUUACAUCACGUUAAUACGUUAGCACAGUUGCAGUAUUCAUAUCACGAGGGAACGAAAAGAGGCACCGCGACGCUUCACGUUUCGAAUAGAAAUGAAAAGGCGUUGAAAGUACACGAAAGCAACUUUGCAAUUGCGCCUGCGUCGAUCGAACGUAAGGAAGGAACAUCAGACGUACGACCCAAUAUGAUACGCUGAGAAAAAAAUAUUCAGUCACCUGAUGUACAAGUAAUAAAAAAAUUUUCUCUCCAACGUUUACGUAUGCACCCUAUACGUCCAUAGGUCAGAGCUAUAAUUUGCUCCAGUUACCCUAUUGUAAUUCCGUGCGACGUCGGUUAGGCGAUAUCUCGAAAAUACGGAAAUAGAUAAACUUCAAAAUUAUAACACGCACGAUAAAAGAUACCGCCGUGAGCGGAGAUGGCUGUUAUUGGUAAAAGAAAUUCUACAUGAACGCAU